UGGCGACCGGCGCACGGGUGCGUAACGCGUAUCCAACUUUCCCGUUACUCUGGGAUAGCCUUCCGAAAGGGAGAUUAAUACCGGAUGGUGUUGAAAAUUCGCAUGUUUUUUCAACUAAAGAUUUAUCGGUAACGGAUAGGGAUGCGUGACAUUAGGUAGAUGGCGGGGUAACGGCCCACCAUGCCUACGAUGUCUAGGGGUUCUGAGAGGAAGGUCCCCCACACUGGAACUGAGACACGGUCCAGACUCCUACGGGAGGCAGCAGUGAGGAAUAUUGGUCAAUGGUCGGAAGACUGAACCAGCCAAGUAGCGUGAAGGAUGAAGGUUCUAUGGAUUGUAAACUUCUUUUAUAUAGGAAUAAAACCUCCCACGUGUGGGAGCUUGUAUGUACUAUAUGAAUAAGCAUCGGCUAACUCCGUGCCAGCAGCCGCGGUAAUACGGAGGAUGCGAGCGUUAUCCGGAUUUAUUGGGUUUAAAGGGAGCGUAGACGGGAUGUUAAGUCAGUUGUGAAAGGCUGCGGCUCAACCGCAGCACUGCAGUUGAUACUGGCGUCCUUGAGUGCGGUUGAGGUGUGUGGAAUUCGUGGUGUAGCGGUGAAAUGCUUAGAUAUCACGAAGAACUCCGAUUGCGAAGGCAGCACACUAAGCCGCUACUGACGUUGAGGCUCGAAAGUGUGGGUAUCAAACAGGAUUAGAUACCC
rnacentral:rRNA from 1 species